rnacentral:misc_RNA from 1 species
GAUGAAGAACGUAGUGAAAUGCGAUAAGUAAUGUGAAUUGCAGAAUUCAGUGAAUCAUCGAAUCUUUGAACGCACAUUGCGCCCCCUGGUAUUCCGGGGGGCAUGCCUGUUCGAGCGUCAUUUCACCACUCAAGCCUCGCUUGGUAUUGGGCAACGCGGUCCGCCGCGUGCCUCAAAUCGACCGGCUGGGUCUUCUGUCCCCUAAGCGUUGUGGAAACUAUUCGCUAAAGGGUGCUCGGGAGGCUACGGCGUAAAACAAACCCAUUUCUAAGGUUGACCUCGGAUCAGGUAGGGAUACCCGCUGAACUUAAGCAUAUCAAUAAGCGGAGGA